rnacentral:misc_RNA from 1 species
GAUGAAGAACGCAGCGAAAUGCGAUAAGUAAUGCGAAUUGCAGAAUUCAGUGAGUCAUCGAAUCUUUGAACGCACAUUGCGCCCUGUGGUAUUCCGCAGGGCAUGCCUGUUCGAGCGUCAUUUCAACCCUCAAGCCCCGCUUGGUGUUGGGCCCCGCCCGCCGUGGCCGGCCCUAAAGACAGUGGCGGCGCCGCCUGGCCCUCAGCGUAGUACAGCUCUCGCUCCAGGGUCCGGCGGCCGCCUGCCAGAACCCCCCCAGCUCUGUGGUUGACCUCGGAUCAGGUAGGGAUACCCGCUGAACUUAAGCAUAUCAAUAAGCGGAGGA